AUUAUAUUGUUACAAAAGCUAUACGCGAUACAAAAUGUGCCUACUUCACAACAUCGUUGCCUCUGCGUUUCUCGGUGGAAUUGUUUACUGGUUGAUUUACCACAUGAGGCGACUGCCUUUUUAUCAAAAAGCUUGGAAAUUCUCUGGGCCAUCCAUAGUUCUACCGAUUUUGGGCAAUGCGCUGUAUUUCGCCGGAAAUACUGAAAAUAUCUUGAACAAAUUCACCGAAUUAUCGCGGGCGUAUCCUUCGCCUUAUCGCGUCUGGCUUGGGUCUGAAUUGUUGAUCAUUUUAUCUCGACCCGAGGAAAUAAAGACAGUUCUGUGGAGCGAGAAGGCGAUCGAGAAGACAAGAUUUUUCGAAUUUUUUCAACCAUGGUUGGGAAAUGGCUUGUUCACUGCACCUGGUGAAAUAUGGCGUGUGCGUCGAAAGUUGAUCGGACCAACUUUCAAUUUGAGAAUUCUGGAGUCGUUUGUGACUGUAUUCGCAGUCCAAUCAAACGUGAUGGUGAGGAAAAUGGAAACUGAAUUAAACGGGGAGGAAUUCCUCGUUUUCGAUUACGUGUCAAUGUGCACUUUGGACAUAAUUUGCGAAACUGCAAUGGGUGUGAGUAUAGGAGCCCAAGUUAAUAACCAUUCCAGUUACGUGGAAGCAGUAGAAAAAUCGCUCAAAAUCAUCUACCGGCGAGCAUUCAGCAUUUGGUUGCACCCGCCAGCGAUUUUCAAUCGCACGCAAACGGGGAAAGAACAAAAUAAGCACAUAAAAACCAUGCAUAAUUUUACUAGCAACGUAAUUCAGAGGAAGAGGAAAGCUUUGCUGAAUCGGAAUACUAAAAAGACUGCAGUCAAAUACGGUGAAGAUACCGAAAGUGAUUCGCCAUCUGAAAGAAAGGCCUUCUUGGAUUUGUUGAUGCAGUUAACAGACGAUAAGAUGAAAUUCUCGGAUUCGGAACUUCGUGAAGAAGUUGACACAAUGAUUGCUGCCGGUAGCGACACGACCUCCAACACAGUCAGUUUCGUUAUGUUGAUGCUGGCUUCUUAUCCGGAUAUACAGGAGAAGGCUUACCUUGAACUUUGUGAAAUUUAUGGAAGUUACGAUUCCAAUAAGCGUAUCGUGACAUACGAGGACUUGCCACGUAUGAGGUAUUUGGAACUUGUGAUAAAAGAAACGAUGCGUGUACUUCCAAUCAUAGCGUUGAUCACUCGCACAAUAACUGACGAUUUGGAGAUAGGUGAAUAUACUCUGCCAAAAGGAAGUUUGGCUGUUAUUGACAUCCUGAGCAUACACAGAAACAAGGAAUUCUGGCCAGAUCCACUCAAGUUUAACCCGGAUCGAUUUUUGCCUGAUGAAGUGGCUGAACGCCAUGCUUAUUGCUACAUACCAUUUAGUGCGGGACCAAGAAACUGCAUUGGUUUAAGGUUCGCCAUGAUGGCUAUGAAGACAAUCCUGGCGACAAUGCUCCGCAGAUAUAUCAUAAAAAAAGAUAAGAUUGUGCCGUUAGACGACGUGAAGUUAAAAUCGGAGGGUGUAACCAAACCAGUUGAACCAAUCAUGCUGCGAAUAGAAGAGCGAAGGUGAAUUGUCAUCAACCCAAAAUCGGGCUGUUUGUGUAUUUGUAGUAUAUGCAUCAUUUAUGUAUACUAUUACGUGUGUGGGUUUCUAAGUACGAUUUGCUCUUGAUCGGAUAUAGGCCUCCUAAAGGUUACGAUAUCAUGCCACGCAGACUGCUCAUUACAUGGCUACUUCUGAUACCUGGCUCGAUGCUUGUGUACUGUCAACAACAUUAAUCUCCUGGAAUCCAGGGAUCAAUCGUCGCGGCCGUUUCUCUCAGGGCACGAUCUCAUAUAUGCUGUCGACAGCUGUGGUGCACCUAGGCAGGAGCCGCGCGUUAUUCGAUACCGAUCGUGGAUCGUGCCGAUUUUGAUGCUGCCUCUUCUGCCUUGUCUACGCUUGACUUCUCGCAGUUUGCAUGGCUGCUUUUUGUGGAUAGGAUCAUGAACGGGUGUUCAUCAGUCUGCAAUAAUCUCAUGAAUGAAGUACGGAAUUGCGUCGUGCCUGUCGAGGAACUUACUUUGCGGCGUUUACCUGCGACUUGGAUAUCGCUAGAUAUCAGACACCUGAUGAAAAAGCACAACGCCUGGGAUCGGUCCUUUAAGAGAUCUCGCAGUGCGAAAGGUUUCGCCAAAUAUAUCACCUAUCGUAGAGACAUAAAGCGUGCUUUAACAGCCGCCAAGACUGAUGGCAUAAAAGAGCGGCUUAAUACUCGUGGUGGUGCGCAAUCCUUUUGGUAUGAGAUGAAGAACAUCGGUCUUACCAACUACUGUCUACUGGGGUUUUGAUUGAUGACCAUAAUGAACACUUUGUGUCUAGCUCCGUGGGUUUGCAGUAUCAUGACCCGGCAGUUCAAAAUCCUGUCAAGAGGUAGAGAGAAUCCUUCACCUUCUCACCGAUCGCGAACAGAUGUGUCAACGGGGCGCUCGUAGGGAUUACAACUCGUGCAUGUGGUCCCGAUAACCCUCCGAUACAGGCUUUCAAGACACUGAAAGAUUUACUGAUGCCGCUGAUGGUGUAUUUUCUCAACUCCCUCCUAACAACGGUAUCGGUGCCACCGUUGGGAGAAUCCUCAAUUGUUAUACCUAUAACGAAGGUUCGCGAUCCCAUUGGUCCGUCAGAUUUUAGACCAAUUUCGCUUCCCUGCACGUUUUCUACAGUGUUUUAACGGAUAGUGUAUGAUCAACUCGCGGUGCAUUUAGCGCGCGUUAAUUACCUCUAUUCACAUCAGACUGGUUCUCGUGAGGGCAUGGGAACACAAUCAGCCGUCUUGCGUUUUGAGGAUAACUUGUAGACUUGCGGACUUGUAGGAUGAUCGCAUGGUGAUCGUUGGUGGUGUUUCUGGACUUCUCCAAAGCGUUCAACAUGGUAAACCAUGCAUUGCUUCUGUCGAAGCUGCGAUCUUUCGGACUGACAACGUGCUUGACUGUUUCAACUCGUAACCGUCUGAUCGCACUACGGUUUUACAAACAGGUCUGGGAACUCGGCUAUUUUUAAGUGGUGGGGAUUGUCACCGUUAGUGUGACCAAACUGUGUUCGUCGUUUGUCCACAAGCUGCGCUGUCGUACUAGGGUAUUGUAAAUAUACAUAUGCAGUUGCAGAUCACCUCGUAGAGCCUCGUAGUCGUGGUGUACAUUCACAUAAUAAAACAAUUUUUGAAAAAUA
rnacentral:misc_RNA from 1 species